CAAUAUAAUUUGAUCAAUUCUUUUUUCUGUCGUUACGGCGGAGAGCUGAACCAAGAAUUUUCUUUCUUCCUCAUGAAUCGAAUCACUGUUCGCGACCCAGGAUUCUAUUUUAUCAUCAAUCCAAUCCCCGUUCACGUUUUUUCUUUUUCUUCUCAAUGAAUAGAU